GAAGCAUGAUCGUAAGGACAUGUGGAGCGCUUAGAAGUGAGAAUGCCGGUGUGAGUAGCGAAAGACGGGUGAGAAUCCCGUCCACCGAUUGACUAAGGUUUCCAGAGGAAGGCUCGUCCGCUCUGGGUUAGUCGGGUCCUAAGCUGAGGCCGACAGGCGUAGGCGAUGGAUAACAGGUUGAUAUUCCUGUACCACCUAUAAUCGUUUUAAUCGAUGGGGGGACGCAGUAGGAUAGGCGAAGCGUGCGAUUGGAUUGCACGUCUAAGCAGUAAGGCUGAGUAUUAGGCAAAUCCGGUACUCGUUAAGGCUGAGCUGUGAUGGGGAGAAGACAUUGAGUCUUCGAGUCGUUGAUUUCACACUGCCGAGAAAAGCCUCUAGAUAGAAAAUAGGUGCCCGUACCGCAAACCGACACAGGUAGUCAAGAUGAGAAUUCUAAGGUGAGCGAGCGAACUCUCGUUAAGGAACUCGGCAAAAUGACCCCGUAACUUCGGGAGAAGGGGUGCUCUUU
rnacentral:rRNA from 1 species